GAUGAAGAACGCAGCGAAAUGCGAUAAGUAGUGUGAAUUGCAGAAUUCCGUGAAUCAUCGAAUCUUUGAACGCACAUUGCGCCCCCUGGCAUUCCGGGGGGCAUGCCUGUCCGAGCGUCAUUGCUGCCCUCAAGCACGGCUUGUGUGUUGGGCCUCCGUCCUCCUCCCGGGGGACGGGCCCGAAAGGCAGCGGCGGCACCGCGUCCGGUCCUCGAGCGUAUGGGGCUUCGUCACCCGCUCUUGUAGGCCCGGCCGGCGCUUGCCGACACAUCAAUCUUUUUUCCAGGUUGACCUCGGAUCAGGUAGGGAUACCCGCUGAACUUAAGCAUAUCAAUAAGCGGAGGA
rnacentral:misc_RNA from 1 species